rnacentral:rRNA from 1 species
GUCAGAGUUUGAUCCUGGCUCAGGAUGAACGCUAGCGGCAGGCCUAACACAUGCAAGUCGAGGGGUAGAGUUCUUCGGGACUUGAGACCGGCGCACGGGUGCGUAACGCGUAUGCAAUCUACCUUACAUUGGGGGAUAGCCCAGAGAAAUUUGGAUUAAUACCUCAUAGUAUGUGAGAAUCGCAUGGUUUUCACAUUAAAGUUCCAACGGUAAAAGAUGAGCAUGCGUCCCAUUAGCUAGAUGGUAAGGUAACGGCUUACCAUGGCGACGAUGGGGUAGGGGUCCUGAGAGGGAGACUCCCCCACACUGGGUACUGAGACACGGACCAGACUCCGUACGGGAGGCAGCAGUG